CUUCGCCGUCGCUUGGAACAGGUACUCCGACCACGCAUACGCAGCAGGCGGGACCCUCUCAGGGUCAAGCAGCGUGGGACUACUUCCAGUAGUUGACUGAGCUCCGCAGCAGAGCCGGAUCGUGCGCUUCCGAGCCUUGAGCCUUCGUAGGACUCUUUCUUCAUGUUAUUC